AUUGAACGCUGGCGGCAGGCUUAACACAUGCAAGUCGAACGAUGAUUAUCUAGCUUGCUAGAUAUGAUUAGUGGCGGACGGGUGAGUAACAUUUAGGAAUCUGCCUAGUAGUGGGGGAUAGCUCGGGGAAACUCGAAUUAAUACCGCAUACGACCUACGGGUGAAAGGGGGCGCAAGCUCUUGCUAUUAGAUGAGCCUAAAUCAGAUUAGCUAGUUGGUGGGGUAAAGGCCCACCAAGGCGACGAUCUGUAACUGGUCUGAGAGGAUGAUCAGUCACACCGGAACUGAGACACGGUCCGGACUCCUACGGGAGGCAGCAGUGGGGAAUAUUGGACAAUGGGGGCAACCCUGAUCCAGCCAUGCCGCGUGUGUGAAGAAGGCCUUUUGGUUGUAAAGCACUUUAAGCAGGGAGGAGAGGCUAAUGGUUAAUACCCAUUAGAUUAGACGUUACCUGCAAAAUAAGCACCGGCUAACUCUGUGCCAGCAGCCGCGGUAAUACAGAGGGUGCGAGCGUUAAUCGGAAUUACUGGGCGUAAAGCGAGUGUAGGUGGCUCAUUAAGUCACAUGUGAAAUCCCCGGGCUUAACCUGGGAACUGCAUGUGAUACUGGUGGUGCUAGAAUAUGUGAGAGGGAAGUAGAAUUCCAGGUGUAGCGGUGAAAUGCGUAGAGAUCUGGAGGAAUACCGAUGGCGAAGGCAGCUUCCUGGCAUAAUAUUGACACUGAGAUUCGAAAGCGUGGGUAGCAAACAGGAUUAGAUACCCUGGUAGUCCACGCCGUAAACGAUGUCUACUAGCCGUUGGGGUCCUUGAGACUUUAGUGGCGCAGUUAACGCGAUAAGUAGACCGCCUGGGGAGUACGGCCGCAAGGUUAAAACUCAAAUGAAUUGACGGGGGCCCGCACAAGCGGUGGAGCAUGUGGUUUAAUUCGAUGCAACGCGAAGAACCUUACCUGGUCUUGACAUAGUGAGAAUCCUGCAGAGAUGCGGGAGUGCCUUCGGGAAUUCACAUACAGGUGCUGCAUGGCUGUCGUCAGCUCGUGUCGUGAGAUGUUGGGUUAAGUCCCGCAACGAGCGCAACCCUUUUCCUUAUUUGCCAGCGGGUUAAGCCGGGAACUUUAAGGAUACUGCCAGUGACAAACUGGAGGAAGGCGGGGACGACGUCAAGUCAUCAUGGCCCUUACGACCAGGGCUACACACGUGCUACAAUGGUAGGUACAGAGGGUUGCUACACAGCGAUGUGAUGCUAAUCUCAAAAAGCCUAUCGUAGUCCGGAUUGGAGUCUGCAACUCGACUCCAUGAAGUCGGAAUCGCUAGUAAUCGCAGAUCAGAAUGCUGCGGUGAAUACGUUCCCGGGCCU
rnacentral:rRNA from 1 species